CUCUCGAUCCCGAUGCGACCUCUCUCUUUCCCCCAUCUCCCGUGCCGCCGUCGCCUUCAUCUCCCGCUCCGCUGCCGCCCCUGCUGCUCCGCCGGCCUGACCUCUUUGUCGGGCACGGCUGCAGGAGCAUCCCCACCUCUCCACUCCCUCACGCAACAGCACUCCAACCCCCCACCCCCACGCUCGGCUACCGCUAGGGUUUCUUACCCUCGCUGCCCCGCCAUGAUAGCUUGAGAGUGCAGUCGGCGGCGGCGGCGAAGGCGGCUCCUCAGAGCAGGGACACGUCUCCCGUCGAAAUCCAAGUCCGUUCGUGCGAGCUUCUCCUCCCCUCGAUCCGAUCUUCACCUUCGCUCAUGGUGGCCGUCAGCUGCCCUCCCGCCGGCGGCCAGCUUGACCUGCACGGCACUCGGUUGCCCACAUGGCCCGCCUCCUCCCCAUCGCGGCACUCUGCACGGCACUUGUUGGCCGCCGUUGGGCUUGCUUGCGGCGCACAGAUCGGGUCGCGCGCGACGGCUACAUCAUCGCCGGAUCUGUCGUUUCGUCCGACAGCGACCCCAACCCCAGCGCCCUCCUCCACCGCCCGCUUCCCCCACUCCCGCUUGACUCCACGGGCCGGUGGCGACGCUCUGCCCGGAGAUCCGCGGAUCUGCGUCUGCCAGCCGCAUUUGGCCCUCCGUCCACUGUGCUCUGCCGGCCCUGGCUCGCGCCGGGGUGGCCCUUGGCUCGUCACCAGGCUCCUGUGUGGCUUGCUCUCGCACGCCUAGAUGCACCAUUGUCGGGUUCCCUGUUGCCCCUAUGAUAUGAUAAAUGCAUCCACCCCUCCCAUUGGCUUGGGUACCUGAUGGAUUUGGUCUGGUCCGCCUACAGAGAUGUUGGUUCCGUUGUUUGCACAUGUAUCCUGAUGCCGGUUUCUCACCAUGGCUGUCAAGUACCGCCUUGUGAAGGAGUGGAGAAGACAACGUGCUCUGGUUCUCCUCCAGCAUGGUCAAAACAAUGGUGCCUUCACCCUUGCUCGUGCCUCAACCCACAUGGUCAUCUUUGAGACGUGGUAUUCAGUCACAUGACAGAGUUCUCUUUAUCCUUGAGGUCAGGUGCGGCAACUAGCGACAUGUGCUGGAGCUUCUGGCGGCGACAUCACCUGCAUCGAGCUCUCCCUGGUCGCCUUCGAGAGUGUGUGCGGCUCCGUCAAGCUUGUUAUGACGCACUUUGAAUUUCCGAGCAAGUCGCAGCCUUUUCAGAUUCAUCAACACAGGUUACAUCAGUACUCAAUAUGGUUCAGAUGCAUAAUAGUACGUACUUCAUUUCCUUUUUGUUGUUUACGGUGUCCUACAACAUGGAUCAUAUAUAUCGGUUAUCUUUCAAGUUCAGUUUGCUGUGGCGAAUUCUUCUUGAAUUUGUUGCAGCAAACUUGUGGUCAUGUAUGGUUUUUAGUUUUCUAAGCCUGCAUAGUUUAGAAGUUAGAACGCUCAUUCAUGUAUUGUUCUAAACUGAAAGUUUAAGUGGCUUUUCCACCCAUGGUAUUGUGGUGGUCAUAAUAGCACACCUCGCAAUUAUUGAUGGCCAGAUCUACAAGCCCUGAGCGGUGUGUGUUUUAGCCCCCUCUGCUUCUCCUGGGCAUCAAUCUAUGCACAACAAGCUCUUCAGUGCUUGAUGACAAAUAAAGGUUGCAUCUUAGAUAGUUGCUUGAUUUGAAUGAGCCAUUUUGCUCUCAGCUAAAAGUCAGAUAUAAGAUUAUGUUUCUUGGCACAUGAGUUAUUUUUCAAUCAACGCGUGGCGAGUCCACUUCGAACUGGUAUAUGCACUUUUUAUUUGAAACUGAACCACCAUGGUUUAAUUUUAUUUUCAUUUGGACAAGUUACCCCAAGUAUCAUCAGUUCAUGAUGACUGGUUUGGUGUGGUGAAUUGAUCCUGGUGCUGAUUUAAGAGUUUUUUAUGACACUGUCUUGUAAGGGAGUAAGGUCUGGUAUCUAUAUGGCUAUUAUUUUGUCUCUUACAGAUUGCCAUAUAUGACAUGCUAAUUGUUUUUAGCUCUUGAUAUAGUUAAACUUUUUUUUCCAAAACGAAGGCAAAAGAUUUGCCUCAUCCAUUAAGUGGGAGGAGAAUAGAGUUAAACUUUGGAUGCACCAGUGCCUGAUGCAUAUGUUUGUUUACUUGGUUUGAACUAUGAAUGAUAUGUUGUUAUCCUGAUUGCAUGCCUGAUGAGUUGGUUCUGCUGGUAUUUUGAGGAGGCAAGCUGUGGUUUUACUCCUGGCCCUGAGAAGGGUGAACUAGGCCAUAGCGAGGGCGCCUUCAGGAACAUCGAGUCAGGGUGCCUCACUUUCUAUUUCAUCUGCGAGGGUGAUACGUAUGAAGGAAAAGAGCCAGAGCGGCGCUUGGAUAAAAGUCAGUGCUGGAAUUUGUUUGGCAUAUGCGGAAAUCUUAGUAAAGGAUAAGGACGCACACGGCGGUGAGGUUAGUAGGGGCGUAACAAACGAGAAGGGCGGGCGUGGCAAUGGCCAUUCAUGUGUCAGACGAAAAUUGUACACCCACAUGUGUGACGAGGCUGGACUUGACAUAUGCAUCAACAAGCAUGGUGAUGAGGUGAGAGUUGGAAGCGUGGAUGUACUUGACAAGGAGCAAGUAGAUGUGAGCAAGCAUGGUGGGCAAUGUCGACGAUGUUCACGCGAGUGAGACAGUUUGAGGGGAAUGCCUGUGCAUAUUUGUGGCGGAAUGGACAGUUUGAGGGGAAUUAGCCUGUGUCUUUGGACAGGUUGUCGACAGAUAAAAGUUUUAUAGUUUGGCUUGAGGAGUAACAUAGACAGGCAUGCUGGUGCUAUAAGGCUAUAUCUCUCUUCGUGGACAAGAGCAUACAAUGCUUCAAGUUUCAUGGAAGUUUUUAAAUUCCAUUAUGAGGCUCAAUCUGAAAUAAAAUGGUGUCUUGCUUUACCAAA